rnacentral:lncRNA from 1 species
AAUCUAAGUCUCAGAUUUUUCUUAAGAUAUUUACUGUAACAUUUUUUAUAGUAUGAUAGGUUUAUGCUGUAAUAUUCAUCGCAUUCAUUUAUCAUAAUUUGUUUUGCCAUUUUCCAGUUGCUUCUUCUCAGGGCUUCUCAGUUUCCAAUUCUUUGUCAGAAAAAGACAGACUCACUAUGAAUCUAUUUACAGAUUUUGAGGGUAAAUUCACUGAUGACAGAAUUGAGGGGAUGCUCUCUUUUCAACUCUCAGUGCUUUGAGCAUAUAACUGUAGAACACUGAUAGAUGAGUGAUGCAUGUAUAAACAGUAGAUAAAUCUUGGAGAACUAUUUCCACAUGCAGUUGGAAGACUUGGAUUAUACACAGGGCCCUCUAAAGAGCAAAUAACCUUUUCAACUUUCUUUCCAAAGUGUGGACCGUCAGUCCACACAUCUGGGAAAAACAAACAAACAAACAAACAAAAAAACCCCUUGUGCAUUUUAAAAGCAUACAGCAAAAGUUAGUUUUAAAAAAUGUUUAAGCUGAAUUGCUCUGGGAUCCUUUACUACAUUCAGGUUUUCAUUGAGCCCCACUUCCCACAGCUAAUGCUUCAUGUCACUCACAUCAUAAAGCAUCUUUGUCUCCAAGGGAUCAGGAGUGGGCAGAAUUGUUAAGGAGUAUCAGUCCUGAUGAGAGGUCAGUGAAAAGGUUGUCUGUGGUCACUGGUUUUCAGAGUCUUUCCAGUGUUAGCUUUCCAAGGUGGAAUAAUGUUGACCUUUUUCUUCCAGUUGUCAUUUUGGAAUUUUUGAAGGUCUGUGAAAAAAUCGUGUGUACACAGGAUGGAAAAAGAUUUAAACAUCUCUCUGCAUAAGAAAAAUGGAUUAUAAAGCUGGUGUAACUGCCGUUAACAAAUAUGAUCAGAAAAAAAGUGAAGGCAUCAAUGAAGUGAUUGCUCAGGAAACCACUGAAGAAAAAUAUAAAUGUAAAGAAAUCUGUGAUGAGUCUCAAGAGAAAUCUCUGGAAAAAUGCUCAAGGUCCCAAUAUCCUAUUACAUUGGAUAAGAUUGAAGUAGAUCUAGAUAUCACUGGAAAAUAUCAAUAUGAAAAAGACAAAGGUACGAACCAAGUCAUUACUGAGGAAAGCACAGAGGAAGAAUAUGAAAGGUGAGCUUCUAAUUGACCCUCUAAAUUAAUUAGAAUUAACUUUGUACUGAGGCCCAAGAUACAUACUGAAUCGGACCAUUUUAAACACUUUACAGGUGCAUUAUGAAAAAAAAAUCAAAAUAUAACAACAAUCACAAAGGCAUAAAAUCCAAAAUAGAAUACCUUUGUAAAUAUAUUUGUAAUAAAACAGAGAGGUCAUUGCUAUAAUGGUAGCA